CGCUCUGGUGGCCUAGUGGUUAGAGCGUUCGCCUCGAAUGCGGGGGGGUCGCGGGUUCGAUCCUCGGUCGAGUCA